GUCCUCUGAGUAUAAUGUAUCCAGGGCUUACCUAAAACAUAACAAAUACAUGCCUCACCCAUUAUAUAUAAAUAUAAAUAUAUGUAUAUGUAUAUUUAUAUAUAAACACAUAUAUAACAAUAUGAUUUCCCACAUUAAGAAGUUCAUUCUUGACCGGGAGCAGUGGCUCACGACUGUAAUCUCAGCACUUUGGGAGGCUGAGGCGGGUGGAUCAUGAGGUCAGGAGUUCAAGACCAGCCUGGCCAAGAUGGUGAAACCUCGUCUCUACUAAAAAUGCAGGAAAAAAAAUAGCCAGGUGUAGUGGCAAGCACCCAUAAUCCCAGCUACUUGGGAGGCUGAGGCAGGAGAAUCACUUAAAAUCUGGGAGGCAGAAGUUGCAGUAAGCCGAGAUCACAUCACUGCAAUCUAGCCUGGGUAACAGAGCAAGACUCUUAUCUCAAAUAAAUAAAUAAGUUCAUUCUUUUGAAUAGUUUCACGUCUACAGAAAUUACAUAAGGAGUAUAUACUGUACAGAAGGCACUAGAUGUGAUUGCUCAGGGAGAGUGAAAAGACAUGAAGAUCUUAAUUUCUGCCCAUGAGAUCCAGAGGCUGGGAAGUUGAAUAUCCAGGUGAUGGCAGAUUUAGUGUCUGAUCUUCUAACAUAUUUUGGGUGAUAGAGAAAAAUGUUGCAACUAUAACAUAAAAUAAAAGACAAUCAUCAUUUGUUGAACUGCUAUCUGCAAAGCACUGGAUUAUUUAGCAAGAAGAGGAGAAAAAUGUCAUCUGUCCCUUGAUCUCACGGAGUUUAUAAUUAACUACAGAUAGAUAGAUCGCAGCCUAAGAUAGUCUUUGCAAGAUACAAUGAUUCUGUUAGAUAUUUCUUCAUUAGAAGGACUUCAUUUCCGUAUUGAAAUUACAAAGCUGCCUCAGGUAUUUAUGCAUUUUAUUUUUCUUCCCUGUGUGCAUUGCUCCACCUGUCCCACUGGGUUCUGUUUUCUCUAUGGAUUGUGUUCAUCUCCCACAAAAGCCAACAGAAACUCCGGCAAAACCUAGGGGAACACAGGCAAUCCCCUCUGCCACCCCUAGGGCAUGCUCAGGAGGACAAUGGUAUUGUUGCUAAAUAGCACUUGCCAGGCGUCCAGGGUUGGAAAGUCUCACCUACUCUGUCACCUGGCAGCCCUCCUCCCAGAGUUAGCCACCAGUAGUACUUAUUAAAUUAUAAUGAUCUACUUUAAAUAUCAGUAAAUGAUGGUGCAACUGACUUUAAAACCAAUUUGGAUAUUUGCUGGACAUAUCUGUCAUUAAGGCUGAUUAUUAAAGGCUAUAUAAAACUUAAGAAUGUGGCUGUCCAGAAGGGAUCUAACAGUUUUCCUUAAUUUUUAGCUUAAACAGAGACAGACCAACAUUAUAAUCCUGGAUAACCAAUCUAUUACCUUCCAACUGCCUGGGGCCAGAGCCUGGGGGCAGUGUGGUAGGUGCCAAUUUUGGUCAAGUCAGGUCUUUCUUAGGGGCAGUCAUGAGAAGUAAGAGUCAAGAGUUGUAAAUAACUAUAAUCCAUUUUUCUGAAAUCUCAUAUAGUUUCUAUUUUUAUAAAUUUAAAAGUAUUAUUCUGAAAAUGGAAUCCAUAGGCUUCACAAAAAUGCCAAGGUGAUCCAUGACACAAAACCAUUAAGAAUCCCUUAAGGCUGACCUAACGCAGUGGCUCACAUCUGUAAUCCCAGCACUUUGGGAAGCCAAGGAUGGGCUGCACACUCGCAACUAAGAGCUUGAGACCACCCUUGCCAACAUGGCGAAACCCCAUCUCUGCUAAAAAAUACAAAAAUUUGCUAGGUGUGGUGGCACAUGCCUGUUAUUCCAAUUAAUUGGGAGUUUGAGACAUGACAAUUGCUUGAACCUGGGAGGGAGCCAAGAUCGCACACUGCACUCCAGCCUGAGUGACAGAGUGAGAUUCCAUCUCAAAGAAAAACAAAAUUCCCUAAAGGUUGUCCAGAAAUCAGUUAAUGUGCAAGCAUAGCAAAUGCAUGGGAGAAAGUAGAGUAGAGAGGUCACUUUCCAUAAGGAAAAUACAGUGAGGUACUGAAAGUCCAAAGGAACAUGGACCUAAAAUAUUAUUGUGAAAAAAAAAAAAAAAAAAAACAGGCAAUAGAAGGGAGUUUGCAAUAUCAGGAAGGGAACAGAUUAGGACUAGAUAAAGAUUAAUUAAUCAUUGGGCAUGGAGAAAUUAUUCCAAGACAAGCAUCAGGGAGAAACCUGAAUGCUCUCUUUAUCUUGCAAGUAGGGUCUUAAAAGAAACAGGGACCCACUAAAUAGUCACUUAGCAGAAAUAGCCAAGAACUACUAAUUAUUGUUUAGUUACUCAAUUAAAGUAAAUGUAAAAAUGUAUUGAGCACUUAUUAUGUACCAGGUACCACAUGCUAGAUGACAGAUAUCCAAUGGUAUAGAAACAACAGAAAUGGUCUUUGACCUUGUUAAACUUACAGUGGACUCGGAGAGACAGGCAUUAAUUGAGUGAGUAAGAACACACAAAAAUUAUGAUAAGCUCUAUGGGGGGAAAGAGUAUGGUGGCAACAAAGGCAUUUACAGUUUGGUAGCCAGUGAAAUUGAAGCUCUGGCCCAAAGAUGAGCACAAAUUGGCCAGGCAGAGUAGAGGGAGGGUGCUCCAGAUGGAGCGAGGAGCAUGUAGGAAAAGAGGGUACUGCUGCUUAGUAUUUGGAAUUAUUAUACUCUUCAACACACUGUAGAAAUUGGGUAGAUUCUCCACCUUGAGAAGAAGAAAAGAGAGUAUAGGGGUAGAAGUCAGGUAAGUAAGGGAGCAGGGAAAUAAGGAGAAAGAGGCAAACUUUUACCUUCUAAUCCUUGGUAUGACUAGAGGCUGAGGAACCACCUCUUCUUUCAUUUAUUCUCCAAAUCAGAGCUAUCUUUUCUCUUUUAUACCUUUUGCAAUGAAAAUAAUAUGAUGAAAAGAAAAAGAGAAGCCCUAUUUCAUUUCAGUAUUUACUGAGAAUCCAACAUGUACAACUAAGACGGUGCUAUGGAGCAUAUACAAGUGAGCACAACACUUCCUCUGCAGAACAAUCGAGUGAGAGGCAGAAAAAAAUCAAAUAGAAUGCCUGCUAGGUGUUGAAGUAGAGCCACCAGCCCUCUGGGUGGCCUUAGGCAGGUCAGGUCUCCUCUGGGAGCCUUCCUUUCACAUCUGUCAUAGAGCUUGUAGGCAACUGACUUUGUGAAGUUCCUUCCAGGUUAAACAGACUGUGCUCCAUUUUUUAGACUGUCAUUAGAAAAUGCUCAAAUACAUCUGUGUUUGUAUAUGAUUGGAGGCAGUCAACAUAUUUAAGAGAUCAGACAUAUAAUUAAAAUUUUGUUGUUGAGGUGGGAUUUCUCCCCCUUUUAAGUGUCACUUUUGAUAAACCUGAGCCUGAAUUGAGCUGUUCAGAGAUUAAGGAGAUUAACAUACCAUAAUACGCACAUACUAAUUCACUAAAUGUCUAGAGGUUGAUGUUGGGGCUUUAAGGAGGGGUGUUUCUUGAGGCUAGGCACAGGACUAGGUGCUAGAAAUUCCAAAGUACCUAAAACGUGGUCCUUGCACUUUAGACAUUCAAUGGGCUCAAAAUGGAAGGGGCCAUGUAGAAAAUAGUGAGCAUAAAGAGUUCCCUGUUUAAUAAAUGGUGUUGGGAAAACUGGCUAGCCAUGUGCAGAAAGCAGAAACUGGACCCCUUCCUGACACCUUACACCAAAAGUAACUCCAGAUGGAUUAAAGACUUAAACAUAAGACCUGGCACCAUAAAAACCCUAGAAGAAAAUCUAGGCAAAACCAUCCAGGACAUAGGAGUAGGCAAGGACUUCAUGAACAAAACACCAAAAGCAUUGGCAACAAAAGCCAAAAUAGAUAAAUGGGACCUAAUCAAACUCCACAGCUUCUGCACGGCAAAAGAAACAGUCACUAGAGUGAAUUGGCAACCAACAGAAUGGGAAAAAAUUUUUGCAGUCUACCCAUCUGACAAAGGGCUGAUAUCCAGAAUUUACAAAGAACUCAAACAGAUUUACAGGAAAAAAACAAGCCCAUUCAAAAAUGGGCAAAGGAUAUGAACAGACACUUUACAAAAGAAGACAUACAUGAGGCCAACAAACAUAUGAAAAAAUGCUCAUCAUCACUGGUCAUUAGAGAGAUGCAAAUCAAAACCACAUUGAGAUACCAUCUCACGCCAGUUAGAAUGGUGAUCAUUAAAAAAAUCUGGAGACAACAGAUGCUGGAGAGGAUGUGGAGAAAAAGGAAUACUUUUACACUGUUCUUGGGAGUGUAAAUUAGUUCAACUAUUGUGGAAGACAGUGUGGCGAUUCCUCAAGGCCUUAGAAAUAGAAAUUCCAAUUGACCCAGCAGUCCCAUUACUGGGUAUAUAUCCAAAGGACUAUAAGUUGUUCUACUAUAAGGACACAUGCACACGAAUGUUCAUUGCAGCACUGUUUACAAUAGCAAAGACCUGAAACCAACCUAAAUGCCCAUGAUGAUAGACUGGAUUGGGAAAAUGUGGCACAUAUACACCAUGAAAUAUUAUGCAGCAAUCAGAAAUGAUGAGUUCGUGUCCUUUGUAGGGACAUGGAUGAAUCUGGAGAACAUCAUUCUCAGCAAACUGACACAAGAACAGAAAAUGAAAUAUCGCAUAUUCUCACUCAUAGGUGGGUGAUGAAAAAUGAGAACACAUGGACACAGGGAAGGGAGUACCAAACA